rnacentral:tRNA from 1 species
GUUCUUGUAGCUUAAACUCCAAAGCAUAACACUGAAAAUGUUAACAUGGGCAAC